GAAAUAGAAAUAGAUGAAGAGAUGAGGAGAUUUGCGAACUUUUUUAGUUUUGGAAGAAAAGGAAAAGCAGUAUUGGUCGGGGUCGGGUUUUAGGGUUAAGAGAGCUUUCUUCAGUCCACUCAUGGGUGGCGGUAGGGUUUAAUUAGCUGCCGACUCAUUCAUUCAAAUAUUGAGUCCAAAAAUUUCAAAUCUCAAAUGGAUUCACUAAACGAUUGAAUGAUGCGGGAGACAAAUUGAAUCUUAAGCUUCCUGUACUUGGACUGAAGGGAGCUCCCUUUUCUUUCUAUUUAUCUUUCUGUUUAUCUUUUUCCCUUCUUCAUCCUCGAGAUCGAGAUCUCUAUCGUAUAGCUUAAUUGAUUAAACUUAUAUGUGUGUUAAAAGCUUACACUACCCACUUUCACAAUUCUUCUUCUUAACCAGACGUCCAAAGACUUGCCGUCGACAUAGCUCAGGUCAGAAGGUCAGGGUUCAAAUAUGCAUCGUUAUUGAACUCAAUAUAUUGUAAUUUUCUUCUAAUAAUUUUCUUUUGUUCUCAUUAGGAUGAAAGGGAGAAGAUUAAUAUCUUUACAUGAUCCUAGGAUCAAAUACUGCUUUAUCGAUUGCAUUGAGUAUGUUAAAAUAGAAUAAUUUUACUAUUUUUUUUUUGUUAUGGAAGAAGAUCAAGAUCUCUUCCACUGUCAUCAUAGUUCAAUGGCUAAGACAUUAUAUAAUCAGUUAUUGGAGGAAAAUUUGAAGACCCAUUUGAAUGAUUACAUAAUUAUGUUAGAAAAAAUUAUCAAAAUCCUUUUGUCCUUCUUUCAAUUAGUAGUGAUGGAAAGCCUGGAUUCAGAUUUGUGCAGAGAUGACCCAUUCGAAGUAAAUUUCAGGCAGCAAGAAAAGCCAUCAUGGAAGGGAUUGAACAAAUUCUUUGUCUUUUGUUUUAGCAUAUUUUUUCAAAAAAGAAGAGAGAAAUCAUACCCAAAAUUUGCUAUAUUGCUCAUGUUUGUGAGGUGAUAAUAGAUGGGAGAAAACUAAAGUGAGUACUUAAGAACUGAGUUGGUCUCCAUAGUUUGGAAUAUGAACCAAUUUAUAUAUUUUGACCUCCAUAAUCAAAAGUUGAAGCCUAAUGAUGUGUUAUGUUUUAGAUGGGCAUUGGGUGGAUUUCAUUACAACACACUAUCAAACCCUAGAAUAUUUGUUUUAGAAAGAAAGAAAGAAAAACCCUUUUUCUAUUUUUAUUUUUCUAAAAAAGCCAUUUUUUCAGUUUUAUGAUGGUUUUCUUCUCUUUGCUGUGUAGUUAUGUUGGAGUGGAAUUUUAUUACAGGACAAAGUUUUGGUAUUCUCAAAGUCAAUUUGAUAAUCAUUUUGUUUCUUAAAAGAAAAAAAAAAUGGUAAAAAAAAUAAAAAGAGAAAGGCGAAUUGUCUCAUCUCAUGAUUUCUUCCUUUUAUAAACCUUUGUUUUUUAAAUUCUAAUCUAGUAGGUUGUAAAUGUCUUUAAAAGGUAAUUUUCAUAAUUUUGUUUGUCCUUGUUUGUUGAAUUUGGGUAGGAAGUCAAAAGAAUUGUUUAACAUGUGGUAAAUUUAUGAUAAAACUAGCAAGAUAACACGUUAAUUAACUUCUGAUUAUAUAUAAUUCAAACUUUGAAUUUGAUUGUUUGUCACAAAAUUAAUAAUAAACCUUUAAACUUGUUCGUUUUACAUAUUUUCUUUCCAAAAUUGUGGACUGUCAUUUUCCUAAUUUGAAUUCGUAACCUGGGGUAAGAUAAUUGAUAUCUUGGUUUGUUUUUACAAAAAUUUAAAUUUUUUGAACUGAAGUAUUAAUACACAUGUAACUUCAAAAUAUGGGUUUUUUUUUACAACAUGCAGAGUUGUGUGAUUGGAAGAUAAAACAAAAAAAAAAAUAACUUGGUUAAUUAACAAAUUGAAUAUCAAGUGUUUUGUAACAAUUUUAGUUAAUUUUUAAAACUUAAAUGAUGUCCUUACCAUUAAUAUUUCUUUAUCUUAGUACCUACAAUAUAAGGGAGUUGUUAUUGUUCGCAUAAAAAAAUAAAAUUAUUUAGAGAGUAUAGAAAAAUUUUCUAAUGAAUUAUCGAGAGUUAAAAGGAUGAAUUUCAAAUGGAUUAUACACAGUUAGAAUUGUCUACAAAUAUACUUUGCGUUCACCACUUUUGAAAUUUACAAUCUAUAUUAUCUUUAUACUUAUCAGGCCAAAUUGAAUGCUGAUUAAGCUCAUGAAUAUGAAAAUAAUUUGAGUGGUUCUUAAAUUGUUAACUAAAUUAUUUGUUAAUGCAAUUAUCAUAUGUUUAUAUUGUGAAUUCAGGUUGUCCUAUGGAUAGUAAUAUAAAAAUUCCUUAGUGUAAUUAAUAAUGAUAUCGUUCAUUCUUUUGCAACUUAGGCCAUUAAUAGUGGAUAUGCCCUGGAAUAUAUGCCCUAUCUAAUUGACCAUGGUUACUUGUUUCUCUAUUGAGGGUUUCGUUUAAUUUGCUAAUCAUUUUUGUUUUGGGAAAAUGGUUUAGUGAAAAUAAUACUAUCUCAAGGGUCAAGUGUAGGACUCUAAUUAUUCGUGGGAUGCACUAAAUUUGGAUGUUGAAAUGAUUAACUUAGAAACAAUUAGAAUUUGCUUGUAAAAUGAUUGAUGAUUAGUUAAUGUGUUUUGAUAAUUUGAAAGGAACAAUUUGGUUCCUCAACCUUGAUCAUAUGUAACCAUCUUAAUUCUUAUGUUUUAUGUUUUAAAGUUUGUAACAAUUUAGUUUUAUGAUAUAAUUUAGUGAUAAAAGUGGGAUUCAAUACUUUUACAGAAUACAUAGUCUACAUCAUUUAAUAAUAAAAAUUGAUUCUUAAAUAUAUAACUAAAUCAUUAUGAACUAAACUUUGGAUACCAAACUUAAUCCGAUUCUAAAAAAGCAGUGCUCAUACGAUUUUUAAUUUUAAUUUUAUGUUUAACUUUCUCUAUUUGAAAAAUGUUAUAUAGAUAUAAAUCUCUUUUAAACAUUUUAUUUUGUAAUUCUAAGGUUUGUGUCAGGUAUAAACAUAAUUAUUCGAAUAAAUUUGUGACAUGUUAAAGAAAUUAAAUUUUAGUUGGUUGUUUAAUAGGGGAUUUCAAACUUUUGAUUUGUAGAGUUAGACAAAAAAUUGUUUGAUUAGUGAGUUUGUAUGCACGUAAUCAGAAAUCAAAAGGAUUGGUUAAAAUUAUAUGUCCAAGGGCGUAGAAAAAAAGUUUGUAAUUAAACAAACUUAUAUUUAGUUCUCGUAUAUUUUUAGUCAUGGACAUUUUGGGCCAUUUUUAUGUAAUGUUUUGGUUUUCGUAAUACAAUGAAGUAACGACUAUGUAUCAUUGCGCAUUAUCAUAUAUCAUGUAAUAAAAUGAUAAAUGAACCAUUAGACGAAAGACGAAAGGAACACAUUGCAAGGGUGGUACAAUAAAUUUUUCAAUAGUUUAUUAAAUUUGUAGCUAUUUAAUUCUUGAAAAGUAUUAAAUCUGUUUGAAAUUGUAAUAUUUUAAAAAUAAUCAAAAGAAAAACAAAACUUAAAUUUGAGGGACAAAUUUCAGUUUCUAAAUUAUCUUUUUUAUAAAAAACUUUCUUUAAACUAUAAAUUAAAAAAUAACUAAUAGUUCUCGUAGCAAAAUUCUUAACAUUAGGGUUUUAAAUCAUUAUGAAUUUCUAUAAGAAUUAAAUAAUUGCACAAUAUAAAACUCUACCCCAAUUUUUGUUUCUAUAAGGAAAACUAAUAUAACAUUUUGUUUAUGCUUCAAAAUUAAUAUAAAAGAUUAAAACCAUUACAUUACUUUAUUAGAAUAACAUAUUGUAAAAUUUGGUAAUAUUUCAAACUUCUACGCAACCAACUUCCUUGAUUUUGACUAGUUUUAUUGAUGUUCAUAGUAUAUUCUUAUCCACUUUUUUUAAUUUUUUGGAAUUAAGCUGAUUUUAUUAUUUAGUUUAGGUUAUUGAAUGAAUAUAAGUUGAUUAGAUUAUUAAAAUUUUUGUUUUAUAUUUUUGUCAAGUAGUGGCAGUAUUGGGUAAGUAUAGAGGAUGCUAAAUUUGGAUGGGAGGAUUCCCAAUGUCACAAAAUCCAAUCCUUUGUGUUUAUAAUAUAUGGUUCUUGCCGCCAUUUAUUUAUUCAUUCUUAUUUAUAUAAAGUGAUAACCCCAAAGUUAUUUUUUUUCUUUUUUUUUUUUUUAUCUUAAUUAAGUUUAUUACUUAAAGGGUAAAUAUUUUUACAAAUUUUCUAAACUUUUAUGUUUUUGUUAUUGAUAUUCUACCAAGUUUUAAAAAAUAAAAAUAAAAAUAUGGUAUUUUCAAAAAACUUUUUCUUACAACUUAGGUAGAAGAAUAGUAACUUGAUUAAAAUUAGCGAUUCUAUCUUAGAUUAUAGUUGUGUUGAAAUAAAUGUGGAUGUGUAUUGUUUAUAUUAUGUUUACUUUAGUGACAUUUUGUUAUUUAUUUUGUAGAUUUUUCUAGAAUACAACAAAAAUAUCGAUUCACUUCUCACGUUGAUGUCUUAUUUAUGAGAAUGUGAAGGUAUCGACAAGUCAAAUAUUGAAGUUGAGAUGAGAUAGACGAGAUUAAACGUUUGAAGUUGAAGCGAAAUUGUGUAGAAUAAACAUUAAAUUUUACUUUUUCUUUUUUUGUUUUAGGAAAAAAAUGAGAUUAGCUUAUUUUGUGAAAUAAAUGUUCAAUCAAUUGAAAAUGAAGGGAGGAUAGAUGUCCACUUCCCCCACCCA